CUGUAAGCUCUUGGGAUCAGGGUCCUAUGAAUGGUUUAUCCAUUGUACAGUACUGCAGCUAAUGUUGGGGCUUGUAUUCCAGCCUGAAUCUGGAAGAGGGUGCAGGCAGCUAGCUGAAUGGCCCAGCAGGAUUAAUGUCGUCCCAGGACAAUGCAGAGUCUGUUUCCAGCAUUCAGGAUGGUCGGGUCAGGGAAUAGAAGGAGGAUUGAGUGCAGGGAGAGGGGAGGAGGGAAAGGUAGAGAGGGGCUUUAUUCAGCAGGCACAGAGAUGACGUGUCAGACAGGACUGAGGUGUAAAAUGUUGAACAGAAAUUGAAGGUUUUCGCCUGAGUGAAAGACACUGAAUGGUAGUUAAAGAGUUACACUGGGACUGAUUUAACUCAAGGAUUUGUCCCCAAAACUUACAUACAGAUAAACCAUGAAGGACCUCCAACACCCUGUGCAGGUGUUAUGGUUUAUUAAGCUGAUUAGAGUGGUACACUGUGAGCCUAGAGUAUUGCACCUUUUCACAAUAUUCUAAUUUACUGAGAUUGUGGAUUUGGGGUUUUCAUGAGCUGUAAGCCAUAAUCAUCGCACUUAUGACAAAUCACGGCUUGAACUAUCUGGCUUUGCAUGUAAUGCGUCUCUCUCAUAUAUUAGUUUCCCCUUUUGCGUUGCAUUACUGAAAUAAAUGAACUUUUGCACGAUAUUCUAAUUUUUCGAGUAUCACCUGUAUUUACAUAGUUACAAAGUUACAUAGCUGAAAAGAGACUUGCGUCCAUCAAGUUCAG